rnacentral:rRNA from 1 species
AUGCAGCAGUGGCUUGAUUUAGAAUCCAUUGCUAGAUCAAUAAUCUUCACUGAAGUGGAAGAUAGUUUGAUUUGGCAAUUUGAGUCGAAAGGGAUAUACUCUUCUAAAUCUCUGUAUGUUGUCAUUAACUUUAGAGGGGUGCAACCUAUCUACACUCCUGCGGUGUGGGACUUAAAAAUUCCACCCAGGAUUCAGGGAUUUCUUUGGCUCUUCUCUCAGAAUAAAAUUAUGACCCGUGACAAUCUGAGAAAAAGAGGUAUUCCAAAGCCUCUGGAAUGUAUUCAUUGUAAAGAGAUGGAAUCUGUUCAUCAUUUGUUUUUUGAGUGCGUGGUGGCUAGAGUAGUGUGGAAAGAGUUUGAGAUAAUAUUUGAUAGAACUUUCCAUUCCUUUAUUGAGUUAGCUGCGUGCUGGCUUUGCAACAAGAAAUUUGCUCAUUUGAAUAUGGUCUCUUCUGCGAUUCUUUGGGGAUUGUGGAAUACCAGAAAUUCCAUAGUGUUUAAUAGAUCUAAAUGGAUUUCUGUCAAACAGGUAUGGCAGAGAAUAAGUUCAUAUCUAGGAGAUUGGGUGAAACCGCACAGGGAGUUGCAGGAGGGGGCAGUAAAACUUUUCAGCGAUCUCCUGUUGAGAAGACUGAGGUCUCCGCUGGAACUGGAACCAGACUGA